GAUGAACGCUGGCGGCGUGCCUAAUACAUGCAAGUCGAGCGAACAGACGAGGAGCUUGCUCCUCUGACGUUAGCGGCGGACGGGUGAGUAACACGUGGAUAACCUACCUAUAAGACUGGGAUAACUUCGGGAAACCGGAGCUAAUACCGGAUAAUAUAUUGAACCGCAUGGUUCAAUAGUGAAAGACGGUUUUGCUGUCACUUAUAGAUGGAUCCGCGCCGCAUUAGCUAGUUGGUAAGGUAACGGCUUACCAAGGCAACGAUGCGUAGCCGACCUGAGAGGGUGAUCGGCCACACUGGAACUGAGACACGGUCCCGACUCCUACGGGAGGGAGCAGUAGGGAAUCUUCCGCAAUGGGCGAAAGCCUGACGGAGCAACGCCGCGUGAGUGAUGAAGGUCUUCGGAUCGUAAAACUAUGUUAUUAGGGAAGAACAAAUGUGUAAGUAACUAUGCACGUCUUGACGGUACCUAAUCAGAAAGCCACGGCUAACUACGUG
rnacentral:rRNA from 1 species